rnacentral:tRNA from 1 species
GCAAGUGUAGUUUAAACCAAAACAUUAGGCUGUGAUCCUAAAAACAGAAGUUAAACCCUUCUCGCUCGCC